UUGGAGGGCAAGUCUGGUGCCAGCAGCCGCGGUAAUUUCAGCUCCAAUAGCGUAUAUUAAAGUUGUUGCAGUUAAAAAGCUCGUAGUUGAAUUUCGGGGUCAAUUUAUCGGUCGUGCCUCUGGUAUGCACUGGUAUUAUUGAUUUCUACCUUCUGACGAACCAUGAUGUCAUUAAUUUGGUGUCAUGGGGAAUCAGGACUGUUACUUUGAAAAAAUUAGAGUGUUUAAAGCAAGCACACGCUUGAAUACAUUAGCAUGGAAUAAUGAAAUAGGACGUUUGACCCUAUUUUGUUGGUUUCUAGGAUCGACGUAAUGAUUAAUAGGGAUAGUUGGGGGCAUUAGUAUUCAAUUGUCAGAGGUGAAAUUCUUGGAUUUAUUGAAGACUAACUUCUGCGAAAGCAUUUGCCAAGGAUGUUUUCAUCAAUCAAGAACGAAAGUUAGGGGAUCGAAGACGAUCAGAUACCGUCGUAGUCUUAACCAUAAACUAUGCCGACUAGGGAUCGGACGAAGUUAAUUUUUUAAUGACUCGUUCGGCGCCUUACGGGAAAC
rnacentral:rRNA from 1 species